rnacentral:rRNA from 1 species
AGAGUUUGAUCAUGGCUCAGGAUGAACGCUGGCGGCGUGCCUAAUACAUGCAAGUCGAACGCUUCACUUCGGUGAAGAGUGGCGAACGGGUGAGUAAUACAUAAGUAACCUGGCAUCUACAGGGGGAUAACUGAUGGAAACGUCAGCUAAGACCGCAUAGGUGUAGAGAUCGCAUGAACUCUAUAUGAAAAGUGCUACGGGACUGGUAGAUGAUGGACUUAUGGCGCAUUAGCUGGUUGGUAGGGUAACGGCCUACCAAGGCGACGAUGCGUAGCCGACCUGAGAGGGUGACCGGCCACACUGGGACUGAGACACGGCCCAGACUCCUACGGGAGGCAGCAGUAGGGAAUUUUCGGCAAUGGGGGAAACCCUGACCGAGCAACGCCGCGUGAAGGAAGAAGUAAUUCGUUAUGUAAACUUCUGUCAUAGAGGAAGAACGGUGGAUAUAGGGAAUGAUAUCCAAGUGACGGUACUCUAUAAGAAAGCCACGGCUAACUACGUGCCAGCAGCCGCGGUAAUACGUAGGUGGCGAGCGUUAUCCGGAAUUAUUGGGCGUAAAGAGGGAGCAGGCGGCACUAAGGGUCUGUGGUGAAAGAUCGGAGCUUAACUUCGGUAAGCCAUGGAAACCGUAGAGCUAGAGUGUGUGAGAGGAUCGUGGAAUUCCAUGUGUAGCGGUGAAAUGCGUAGAUAUAUGGAGGAACACCAGUGGCGAAAGCGACGAUCUGGCGCAUAACUGACGCUCAUUCCCGAAAGCGUGGGGAGCAAAUAGGAUUAGAUACCCUAGUAGUCCACGCCGUAAACGAUGAGUACUAAGUUGUUGGGGG